GACGAACGCUGGCGGCGUGCUUAACACAUGCAAGUCGAACGGAAAGGCCCUGCUUUUGUGGGGUGCUCGAGUGGCGAACGGGUGAGUAACACGUGAGUAACCUGCCCUUGACUUUGGUAUAACUUCAGGAAACUGGGUCUAAUACCGGAUAGGAGCUCCUGCUGCAUGGUGGGGGUUGGAUAGUUUCGGCGGUUGGGGAUGGACUCGCGGCUUAUCAGCUUGUUGGUGGGGUAGUGGCUUACCAAGGCUUUGACGGGUAGCCGGCCUGAGAGGGUGACCGGCAACAUUGGGACUGAGAUAGGGCCCAGACUCCUACGGGAGGCAGCAGUGGGGAAUAUUGCACAAUGGGCGGAAGCCUGAUGCAGCAACGCCGCGUGCGGGAUGACGGCCUUCGGGUGGUAAACCGCUUUCGCCGGUGACGAAGCGUGAGUGACGGUAAUGGGUAAAGAAGCACCGGCUAACUACGUG
rnacentral:rRNA from 1 species